AUUAAAAUUCUGUUUUUAGCACCUGUUCACAAUGUGUAUUUCUCCUGCACAUCCAGAAUUUCCAAGGGAAACUAAUAAAUGUGUUGGAGCUCAGAACAGAUUGCCUGUGUCUAAGCCCUAUGUCCCUUUUAACUAAACUGCUGUUUGGCUUGAAGGCCUGGGCCCUUAGCCAAUAAGCCCUACUUGUGUUCGGAGUCCUUUGUAGGAAAUCAUCCAUGGCCAAGUUCCAGGGCCCAGCUGGUGAAAUCAGCUUGUUGCUCUUUUGGUCUUUAACCUGAGAGAAAAACUACAUCUUGUAAAAGAUCCUAACAGAGAGAAGUGUGAUGAUUAAGUUUAGCAAGAAACUUCUUGACGGGCUUGUGUUUUCUGUCUGGUAACUUCUGUAGAGACUAACUGGUACCUGUUGCUACGAAUGCUUUAGCUGCCUUUUAGGGGCUUGCCAUGCUCCAGAUUUUUCCUGCUUCAGUUAGUUUUAGAGUGAAGAAAAUGCAUCUCCUUUAUAAGGAAGCAGGAUGGCAUGGAAUUUAAUGAAAUAAUAUCCAUGAAACUUGUGUAGUGCUUGAUGAAUAGAGCUUAGAACAUCACCUAGCACAUAAUGAUCAAAAUUUGGCUGAAUCAAUAUAUAGUGCUAAAACCAGCCAACAAACAAAAACCUCCAAAACUAAUGGUCACAAAUUGUUGUAUUUUCGGUCAAUUAAAGUUAGCAAAAAUAAUUAGGAAGGGGAACUGACUUAAAGUUGCCAAUUUUUUACUUUGUUUAGUAAGGAAAUUUAAAGAACACCUGCUAUUUACCACCCUCAAUUCAUAAAGGAAGUUUUAAUAUUUUAAAGGAGAAAGGACACCUUGUAAUAAAGGACAGAUCUUUAAAUGUAUCUUUAUGAAAAAGUUAUUAUUUUUCUCAUUUUCUUCUAGACUAGGGAAUAGUUAUGAGUAUUUGCCUUAGAAGUUAAAAGCAUGGGCUCUGGAAUCCAUCUACCUUCUCAGCACCACUGGUAUGACCUUGACCAACUUACUGUGCCUUGCUUUCCUGAUCCAAAGAAUGGAGUUCAUAUAACCUAAGUCACAAGGGUAUUAUGUGCAUAAAAAAGUAAUACAUGUUCUUUGAGCAGUGCCUAGCACAUAGUAAAUCCUCAAUAAAUGUUAGCUAUUACUAUAGUAAUUAACUUGGUUCACCAAAUAUUGCCACCGCUCUACCCCCAGGCACUCAUUCCUUCUCAGCCAUGCCCCCUCUUGUGGUUGGAUGGGGCCAGGUGACUGGUAGGCUGUGAGCAAAACUGACUUGAGUCACUUUGGGACUGAGGUAUUUUCUAGAUCAGCAGUUCUCAAAGUAUAGUCUGCGGACCCAUGGAGAUCCUUUCAGGAGGUCUGCGAGGUCAAAACUGUUUUCAUCCUAUACUAAGAUGUCAUCUGCUCCUCUGACUGCGUUGAAAUUGUACUCAUAGUCCAGGAGUAAUAGUGGCCAAAGUUGCAGGCAGUGGCCCCAAACUGUACUAGUAAUUGGGUUCUUCACUGCCACAUGCUUACAGGAAGAAAAGUUGCCAGUUUCAGUUAAGAAUGUUCUUGAUGAAGCACUGAAGAGUGUUAAUUUUAUUAAAUCUCUCUUCUUGGGUACACACUUAAAAAUGUCUUGUGUGAUGAAGUAGGAAGUAGGCGUAAAGAACUUGUGCAGCUUAACAGUGUACAAUAGUGUCCCCAGGAAGAUCAUGUGCACGUAGUGCUUUCUGUUGGAAGCUGAACUACCUGCUUUCUUCUCCCAUAGAUCUCAUUUUUACUUGGAAGAAUGACUAACCGACUGUGGUUAUUCCAACUUACGUGUUUGGGAAUCAUUUUUUUGGAAAACGCAAAAGUGACUUUGUCAAGUUGUUUCAAGAAAAAAAAAUGACAAUGUUUGUUGUCAAUGAUAAAACUGAAGUUCUCAUGCAAAGGUAGAUUUUUGGAAGACUUGUGUCCACCAGCGAGAGCUUGAUAGCAUCUCAAUCCAUAAAGACUUCUCUAAUGAGAUUGGUAGUGAUAUUAAUAAAAGUGAUUUUUUUUAAAUAUUAACUCAGGGAACCAGUAUUUUCCAAAUGACUAAUGCAUGAGCUGCAGUGGCAUGCAUGAGUAAAAGAUUCAUUCAAAGGUCAAGACAGACCAAAGGACUUCACUGUAAAAGAAUAUGAAAGGGGCAUUGAUAUGGUUUUAGACUCAACAUUGCACCUAACCUUUGAGAAUAUCCCACUUGCCAAAUUUUGGUACGAUAUCAAAGAAUAUUCAUAACUGUCUGAAAAGACUAUUAAGAUACUUGUCCCUUUCCAACCGUUAAGCACUUGUUAUACUUCAACCAAAAUAGCUUAGGACAACAGAUUGAAUGUUUAUGCAGUUAAAGAGAAUCCAACGCUCCUGUCUUAUCUUAAGCCAGACGUCAAAGAGAUUUGAAAUAAUGUAAAACACAGCCAUUACAUUACAAAUAAUGUAAAACACAGCUCCUCACUAUUUUUUUUAGUUUUAGAAAAUGUAGUUAUUUUUCAUAAAAAUAUUUGUUAAUUAACAUGUAAUAGACUUUAUUUAAUAAAUGUGUUUUACCUAUGUUUUGUAUUUCUCAGUUUUAACAUCUAAUGUGGAUACUAAUAGAUAUAACCCACAUCAAGAAACACUUUUUGGUGUCCUCAAUGAUUUUUAAAAAUACAAAAGUGGUCUGAGACAAGAACGUUUAAGAACUGCUGGUGGAGAUUAUUUUUAAGGAUUUUGUAGAGAUACGAUUCCAAGGUAGUGCCUCAGCUUGUAUUGAUGUGUCCUUGUCCUUUGUUUGCAAAGCUCAGAUCACAACAAUGACACAUGCCCAUCCUGAGAGAGAUGGAACGUGAUGUGGUGUUCUCUCUGUGUCACCUGUGCGCUAGACACAGGCAGGCAGGCCACUUUAUGGCUUCUUGCCCAGAGGUGCAGAGUUGCUCUUUUGUGUGUCCACUUGUGAUUGGAGUAGGAAUAUCCUGCCUCCAGAGUUCUGAGGCAGAUAUUCCUGACUCUUAGGCCUUGGUUCUGUUGCUUUCUCAAUACUAUGUCUUCAGAAUAUAAGAAGGGUAGAAGAGGCAGCUCAUUUUAAUAAGCUACCACCUGUGAGCAGAACAUUUCAACCCAGUGCUGUGUGUAGGCUGGUGGGAAAACAAUGGAACAGUGUUGUCUGGAAGAGAAAUGUGUCUUCUGGGGCAAUUUUAUCAGAUUUUAUUCAAAGGCUGCCUUAACAAGUGGCUUAAUCUGGCAGUCAGACACCUAAGUGCCCUGCCAGGGGAGAGCUCUCAAGCGUCUUUAGAUGUCACAGUCAGACUGCUGGGCCAUAGACAGACCUGAGGCAGGGUGGCAGCACACAUCCUGCAGUCCACAGUGCAGGAGGGUGCCAGCCAGGAACCUCUUCUUCCAGUGCGGUGCAAAGAGUCUCAGCAUUGCCCCAUUGCAGAGACCCACAUGCCAUGACAUAGUGCUGCUGGUCUAGGGCUCUGGGGCUUUAAGUCUGGGGUCUGUGGAGUCCCACCGUCUUGCAGGAGGUGACAUCAGUACUUGAAAGGUUCCACUUUCGUUUGGCUGGUUCAGUCAUUCAGUUUCCUCUGGGGAGUUUCUCUCAAGUCACCCCAGGAGUCUUGGAAACACACCCACUCUGGUUUAUCAUAGCUCUAACUCUCUCCCCAACUCCAUUAAUCCCCUCUGUUUCUGCCCCCAUAAGUACAAAUGGAUCCACUCUCACAUCCUUCCUUCUGGCUUCCUAAGAAGGGACACCCUUUCCACUCAUGGCUAACCCUGCACCUUUGCUCUUGGUCCCCCUUCUCUCCCUGCCUUCCAGAUAUGGACCGUGUUCCCCUUGUUAGUCUCUCAUAUAUGUUUCCAGAAGUGUCCUCUCUCUACAGGGUCCUUCCUCACAGCCAUCUUUUCUCACAUGUUUGUUUCUGAGAAGCAGCCUGCUGCAUAGUUAGGAGCCUGGGCUCUGGGGUCACACACAACUGAAUUCAGAUGUGGUCUCAAGCCCAUUCUUACUGUGUGACUUUGGAAUAAUUGUAUAACAUCUCUGUGCCUCAGCGCCCCUCCAAAAUUCAGUUCUAAUAGUACUUGCUUUAUGUGACUAAAUGACAGCAUCAGAGCCUUUGGGGCUUGAAAAUUAGUAGGCAGAUUGGAAGGUAGGUAGGACUUCACCACGUAGUCGAAGUAGAGUGGGGCUUGGAGAAAAGAGAAACUACCAGCAUUCCAACCAGAAAAAAAAAAACCCACAUGGCUAGAGGCCUGCAUGGGGCCCAGAAGAAGCAUGACAGGUGAGUUCUGCAGGUAGAGUUCUGGCUGCUUGUGAAGAGGAGUGGGGAGCUCAGGCAGCUAAAGAACGAGGAGUUAGAGGACAAGAGAUAAGGCUGAUGAAAACAGUAAGAGUUCCUCUGAACCCCUUCUGACAACUUACAGCAUCGUCUCAACUUGGUUGAUCUGAAGGAGACAUGUUUCAUCUUCAUCUAAAGCACAAAAUUGAGUCCUUGAUUGCCUGUUGUCAUUUUGGGCCUCAAGGGCUUUGGCAGUAAAUAUGAAGAUGAUGGCUUUUGAGUCCUGGGAUGUUUCUGAUUUUACUUGAGCACAGUCUGCCCCCUACUGAUCAUUCUGGAUGUUUUCAACCUAAAUGGGUUUACUUGAUAUCAUUAAGUGCUGCCAUUUGCUUUCAUCCUCAAGGAUAUUGGGGGGAGGGGAGGGAGAGGAGAGGGGGAGAGAAUAAAGUCUGUAAACCUGUGCACCACUUAAAACUGUUAUAUUUAAAGUGUCUCAGAAGUGACCCUUCUAGCAUUAAAAACUAGUUAGUGUGACUAGGCCAAGUGUAAUUUAAAUGGAGCCCAGAACGCAUAUAUUAAGGCCUCCAACUCCAGGCACUUGUAAUUUGACACUACUGGUAGUGAUGAAAAUUUCUGAGGACCCAAAGUUCAAUGAGAAAAAUAAAUGCAUGUAUAAUUAAGAAAAAUAUCUACAUCGUUUGAAAGCAUAAUGUAUUUCAAGAGUGUGCUCUUGAUGAAGAAAGGAAAGGAAAACUUGAAGGAGGACUCCAGGGAGUUGCAAAUUAAGUUCUGUGCUCUGACCAGGCACACUGGAAGGGAAUUAGUGGCACUAUCUUACUAUUUUCUGUUGUGCAAAUAAAAUUUUAUUGUAUCCUUCUCCACAGUAAUAAAAUCAAUUAAAGAUUAAAUAUUAACUAAAUAACACAUAGGAGACAAGAUUAUGAGUUCUUGAUCUUGAAAUGGUACCGUAAAUGUUACACAGGAGAAAGAUUGGGUAAACACUGCUUAUCCAGCGGUUCUUUACUUCAUUUUGUAUAUGUUCCUAGAAGCUAUAAAGUAAAGGCACAUCUAACAGUAGGGAAAGUAAUAUUGCCUCCAGACAGCUUUUGUUUUGAAAGCCGGUAAAGAAACUUCGUGAUUUUCAAAUAUGAGAAUUUUAAUAGAUACCUGCAAAACUUUUUUGAUAGUUGAUCUGAAUUUUAAGAGUAAUAUUUUAUGACUUCUUCAGAACAAGUAAAAAUUAAAUCUCUUGUACAUUCUUUAUCUCAGAAAGUUGGACAUAAUACUAUGCAAUUGUCACAUCUCAGAUAACAUGAUUUAAGUAUCCCAUAAUAUGUUCUUAGAUGCGGCUCUAAGACAGGGGUCAUCAGACUUUUCUGUGAAGGGCCAGAUAGUAAAUAUUUUAAACUUGCAGGCCACAUAGUCUCUGUUGCAAGUAUUCAACUCUGCCACAUUAGGAAGAACUCUGCCAUAGACAAUGGUUAAACAAAUGAAUGCGACAGUGUUCUCUUUAUUUACAAAAGUAAAUGGGGAGCCAGAUUUGGCUUGGGGGCUAUAGUGUGCCUUUCUCUGCUCUAAGGUAGAGUAACCUAGGUGUACAUAUUGACCAAAUAGUGAGGAUAUGAGAUUUGAGUAUGGCUAAUAGAGAUAUUUAAAUCAUAUCAGUACAUAUUUUUUAAACAUUUUGAUAAUAACAGUAGUAAAUUCAGUCUUUAAUCAGUUUCUUGGCAUUUACUGUUUUUAGAAUGAUGUUUGUAUAUGACAGUUAACUUCCUCAAAGACCUGAGUCUGUAUACAUUUAGUACAAAGGUGGAAAAAUCUAAUCUAUUGAAAAAAAAAGUGUUGAAAUAAACUUGAUUUGGUGUAAA